rnacentral:rRNA from 1 species
UCGGGAAUUUUGGGCAAUGGGCGAAAGCCUGACCCAGCAACGCCGCGUGAGGGAUGAAGUAUUUCGGUAUGUAAACCUCGAAAGAAUGGGAAGAAUAAAUGACGGUACCAUUUAUAAGCUCCGGCUAACUACGUGCCAGCAGCCGCGGUAAUACGUAGGGAGCAAGCGUUGUUCGGAUUUACUGGGCGUAAAGGGCGCGUAGGCGGCGCGGUAAGUCACUUGUGAAAUCUCUGAGCUUAACUCAGAACGGCCAAGUGAUACUGCUGUGCUAGAGUGCGGAAGAGGCAACCGGAAUUCUUGGUGUAGCGGUGAAAUGCGUAGAUAUCAAGAGGAACACCUGAGGCGAAGGCGGGUUGCUGGGCCGACACUGACGCUGAGGCGCGAAAGCCAGGGGAGCAAACG